UACAGAGGUCCCAAGCGUUGUUCGGAUUCAUUGGGCGUAAAGGGUGCGUAGGUGGCGCCGUAAGUCGGGUGUGAAAUUUCGGAGCUUAACUCCGAAACUGCAUUCGAUACUGCGGUGCUCGAGGACUGGAGAGGAGACUGGAAUUCAUGGUGUAGCAGUGAAAUGCGUAGAGAUCAUGAGGAAGACCAGUGGCGAAGGCGGGUCUCUGGACAGUUCCUGACGCUGAGGAGCGAAAGUGUGGGGAGCGAACAGG
rnacentral:rRNA from 1 species